rnacentral:rRNA from 1 species
CAGUCGCCGCGGUAAUACGAAGGGUGCAAGCGUUACUCGGAAUUACUGGGCGUAAAGCGUGCGUAGGUGGUGGUUUAAGUCCGUUGUGAAAGCCCUGGGCUCAACCUGGGAAUUGCAGUGGAUACUGGGUCACUAGAGUGUGGUAGAGGAUAGUGAAUUUCCGGUGUAGCAGUGAAAUGCGUAGAGAUCGGAAGGAACAUCAGUGGCGAAGGCGGCCAUCUGGGACAACACUGACGCUGAGGCACGAAAGCGUGGGGAGCAAACAGGAUUAGAUACCCCCGUAGUCCCUGUCUCUUAUACA